rnacentral:rRNA from 1 species
UGAGGAAUAUUGGUCAAUGGGCGCAAGCCUGAACCAGCCAAUCCGCGUGCAGGAAGACGGCCCUAUGGGUUGUAAACUGCUUUUAUACGGGAAUAAGGAGGCGUACGCGUUGCGUUUUUUGCAUGUACUGUAUGAAUAAGCAUCGGCUAACUCCGUGCCAGCAGCCGCGGUAAUACGGAGGAUGCGAGCGUUAUCCGGAUUUAUUGGGUUUAAAGGGUGCGUAGGCGGAUCAAUAAGUCAGUGGUGAAAUUCUGCAGCUUAACUGUAGACUUGCCAUUGAUACUGUUGGUCUUGAGUAUGGUCAAGGUAGGCGGAAUGUGUAAUGUAGCGGUGAAAUGCUUAGAUAUUACACAGAACACCGAUUGCGAAGGCAGCUUGCUGGGCCAAUACUGACGCUGAUGCACGAAAGCGUGGGGAUCGAACA